rnacentral:lncRNA from 1 species
UCCACAGUACCGGAACCAAAUAGAGUCAGUCCAUCGUCGUAGUACGUAAAACUCAAAAAAACGCACGUUUUCCCGUCCAUAACGACGACAAACAACGAUUACGGAGUACUUAGCUAAGUACGGAGUCGAGAAGAAGGUGAAAAAAAAAAGAAGCCAGGUAACCAAUCAAGAAGUCAUGUUCCCGUAUAAAUUGAUUGAUGACUACGAAGUGCAGCAAAAACGGAGUACUACGUCGUUAACUGGUUUAGGACGGGAUCCAGAAAUUCUUUCUGGCGGUCCCACAGAGCUGGAACGUUUAGCGGCAGUACCUGAGUACGUACUCCGGAGUCCGUAGUCCGUUCCCAUUGUCGAUAUUGUUAAUAGUAGACUGGCUUGGCAGGUCCUUACGGACGAAGGCACCUGAAAGGCAUGGAAAUAGAUGGCGUAGACCGGGUCGGACGGAUGUGGACUGGAGAGAAGAGUCAUUUGUUAACUACGAAUGUUGGGUGAAUAAAUUAAAAAGUAACUAACUAACUAACUUAACUAUCGAAUCGAAUUCAAUUCGGCACGGGCAUCCGCACCCCCGUGUCCACAUCGGUAUCCCGAACUCCAAAUUAGACCCUUGUAAGAUAUCCUGUCCAAUGGUGCGCGAGAGAAUGGCUUUAAUCGCGACGAUAAACUCAAAAUAUUUUACGAAACUGUACAUCUACGAAAUCUUUAAUUCUUGAUGAUGAUGAUUGUUACACAUGAAACCGAACGUCCUCGCCGAAAUCACCGCCCAAUGUAAACUCAAAUGCAAAACACAAACGCACCGUUAUCAAACUCGAACUCAAUUCGAAUUUACUACAGCGCAAGGAAUGUACAUGUACAACAAAAAAAAAAAUCAAAGUAACGGCACAGCCUCGACGCCAGCGAGCGCCUAUUGAUUGGCUAUGUUGUCUCGUGGUAAAUGUCUGGGCUACGGACCGUGAUCUAAAUCCAAACUUUACUCCGCAGUUUAUAGAACAGUCAGGUCAGCGUGCACUAUUUCGGGGCGAAAUCUGUUUGUGGAGCGUAUUUUUGUAUCGUGCGUGUGUACGUACGUACGUACAUACGCACGCAGUACAGAUCGAGAAAGGAUCUGAAAAGGGAAAUGUUCUAGAAACAGGGGCCCUGUACGGCGUCGAGCACGAUAAGCCAACUACGUAGUUAAUAGUACUUGAUACGCAAGUCAACUUAGUUAACCCAAAUGCAGCAAGAUUACUCAUCUGCGAGGAUAACUUAGUUAUCUAAUUUAUCAUUGUGCGUUCCCACGACAUACCUUGAACAGUUAAUGAACGAGUACAUAGCCACAAGACAAUACGAGAUGGGAAGGCCACAUACGAUCUGAAUCCUAUUGUGAACUAUUUUGUUUUAUUCUACUCGUUCUUAAAUUUAAACAUUUUGUGAUCGAAGGACGGUCUUGUGAUUCAUAUGAGUGAGUCAUUUUUUUUUUUCGUCUUGUCCACUGGCCAGGCUUGUUUCGUUUCGUUUGGUUUGGUUGUGGCCUAGGCAGUGAGGCAUCGAAUUACACGGGGUGGAUUUUUGAUUGAACACGUAUUUAUUUGGUCGAGAUAUAUUACUUCGUAUAGGUUGAAACGAUGCUGCCUUUUAAGAUUAAGAAUGAAUUAAUGAGACAUAGAAUUUCAUUUGCUGGGUGUUCCUUUAAGAACAACAUGUUAUGUUGAAACAAAUCCACGAGGCUCCCAGGCAGCGAGAACGGGUUUCGUAUUACCUUUUCGCCACCCGCCAGUGUAAUACUCCCCCGAAGGUACGUAGUAAUAUUCAGCCCUACAAGAAAGGAGUCGCCCGUACACAGAAUGUAUAUCGUACGUAUUUUACAAACCCAUACAUCAUGCAUGUGCCGGCAAACAAUGGGGGGCAGACCCAGCACUCCGUAGCUUAUUGUAUAUACGGAGUUACCGCACGAUGAUAUUAUAUCUCGCAAUAUAUCCCUGAAGGCAACGAGCGCGGCGUGGCUUACAUCUAGCCAGGCAGGUACCAUACCAGGCCGAUGUAUCCUUUGUGUGUAACGUGACACCAAUCCUCUAACUACCAUUACAUAGUAGUUACCUAAACAAUAUCGACGUUUUUCGUCCGUGGGGUCCAAAGUGCUCCUAGCCACAGGGUCCAUUCUAUCUAUGAUGUCUAAUGUGAGCGAUUCCCGUCGAAUCGCGAUUGUUGAAUUGGAUGCGAGAUGAGCGCGAGAUGGGACGGGAGAUCUCAGCUGAACCGUUUAAAUCGUAUCUUCGAGACUGGCCCAAUGUGGGUUGGCCGACUCACCACAAUAAAUACGUACUAUGGAGUAUAAUGUAGGUACACGAUUUACGUCGCAUUGCAUAUUAACACAGUCCCCAUAAUACCCCAAUAUGUAUGAGGAUACUACUAGAUAGCCCUGGAGCCAAGGGGAGGAUCUUAACAGCAUGGUACUAAAUAAUGACUUCACUUGCUGGGCUUUCAGCUGUUACUACGCAACAGUGUACCUACCGUAGUGUUGUUGUUGUAGGCACUCAACCCAGCUUCUCGAGUUCCCUUAACAUUUCUUGUUUAUAAGUAGGACCCAGACAAUUCUAUCCACCAAUCACCAUCUCAACUCGACCUUUUCCGCAUUCAAGUGUGUUGAUAGGUCUGUUCAACCCCAGCUGUCACUAUGCCUAUAUUUACGCCCUUUGGAUCUUGUGUGCGUUCAGUACGUACUAUGUUGAAGUAUCGGUACUGUACGAUACGUACUAUGCCAUAGUCUCCGUAUCGUUGAAGUAUGUACGGUAGUAAAUAAAGACAUGACCCGCUGUGGAUGUCUGGCUCUGGAACGGACCGAGAAACUCGAAAUA